CCUACGGGUGGCAGCAGUGGGGAAUAUUGCGCAAUGGGCGAAAGCCUGACGCAGCGACGCCGCGUGAGGGAUGAAGGUCUUCGGAUCGUAAACCGCUGUCAGCAGGGAAGAAAGGUCACUGUGCUAAUCAGCAGUGAAUUGACGGUACCUGCAAAGGAAGCACCGGCUAACUCCGUGCCAGCAGCCGCGGUAAUACGGAGGGUGCGAGCGGUACACGGAAUUACGGGGCGUAAAGCGCUCGUAGGCGGUAUGUCAAGUCAAGGGUGAAAUCCCCGCGCUCAACGUGGGAACUGCCUUUGAAACUGGCAAACUGGAGUGUGUGAGAGGAUAGAGGAAUUCCAGGUGUAGGAGUGAAAUCCGUAGAUAUCUGGAGGAACAUCAGUGGCGAAGGCGACUAUCUGGCACAUAACUGACGCUGAGGAGCGAAAGCGUGGGUAGCAAACAGGAUUAGAUACCCUGGUAGUC
rnacentral:rRNA from 1 species